rnacentral:lncRNA from 1 species
GACAGCAGUCAGCCUGGGACCAAAAGGUGCAGCAGUUAGGAAACAGCUGGGGCCAAGUUUAAGGCUCAGCCCUAACUAAAGGGUCCUUUUGUGGCUAAUUUCUAUUUUGACAGGUGGCUGCCAGGCAGCCUGCCCUAACCUCUCCCCUACCCAGUCCAGUUUUUUCUCCACUGCAAAUCAUCAGCCUUAGUCAAUUGCACCAAGUCUCCCCAUCACUUCACAAAAUUGACACCAAAAAGCCGACAAGGGCUUUCUAUUAUAUAACUGUCUCAAACUCCUUUUCCUUUUUCUUUCUAAACUCCCUAAAAUAAAGACUUCAAUAUCUCCCAAUUUUGUCAGGAGAACGCCAAGAACUAUGCACCAAGAGAGCUAGCUUUUUCUCUGCUUCAAACAUACCCCACACAAAAUCACUUUUUACUGAACACCCAAAAAGCAUUUAUUUUCCAUUACUCAGUAAGAGCAUAUUAAAAUCUUCUUUCCUGCUGUUCUAAUCUAAAAGGAAUUUAGUCAUGCAAGUGACUAAAUUCUGUGGGAAGCUGGUAAAUGCUGCAAGCAACCUAUUUCAUUUCAAUUUCGUUUUUCAAAUAUCCCCCAUCAGAAUUAUAUACACUUUUUGAUUUUGAUCCAGAUCUGUAAUUUUGGCUGGAUAGGAGCUCCUCUACUGGAUAAACUUUCUUCCUUGAGGCAGUUCUGUAGCUUCUAGAACUCAGUCUGAGUUGCCCACAUGUCCUAAAGGGAUAAGGGGUCUGUCCACUGCCAUGCAGAAUAAGCCAGAGGCAAAACCUGAAGCCAGGUUUCAAGAGCCAAAAGUUGGCCCUCUGUCCAUCACAAUCUCGUUCCCUCUCAAAAUCACUCCAAUUUACUCUGAAAAACACUUCUUUACUUUCAUGAUGGUUUGAAAGAGUCACUGAGGUCUCUUCUAACUCUCAAAAUUCUAUGAGCUAGUUGGAUACUUGGCAAUGUUUUAUGCCAGCACUUUCCCAAAGAAAUGGCAUAAGUCAUGCUCAUCUGCCACCUUGCACACACACCCACACUUGGCAUUUUAAAAAAACUGUAUGACAGUUGCUAAGCCCAGUUUUCUCCAAACUUCUGAGGACAGAGCUAGUUUGUAAGUCUUUAGAAUAUGAACUUUUUUUCCAGCUUUCUUAAAAGUGGAUUACUGAAGAGAUUUAAAUACAAUUGGAAGACUCAGAAGAAUGUUUAAAUAUAGAGACCAGCCCCUAUAUGGGCACUAUUAAGAUUCUUUUCCUUAAGCAUUUGUAAGACUGUAUUAAAAUAGGUAUUUGCCAUGCUAACUCAAUUUUAAACAUUAACCCUACUUUUUAAAAAAGGCGGGGGGGAAAGGUAAGGAAGACCCUUCAUAGCAGAAGUUCUAUAGUGUUACAUGAUCUUUAUAUAUCAAGUAUAUUUUGCAUACAAAAAUAACUCAAGAAUACAACUCAAAAAAAAAAAGCAUAUAUGCCAGCACAACUUUAAUUACAUCUCUUUCACUGAUUAAUAAAUGCAUCUCUCUGUCUUUUUCUCCUCUUCCGGGUCAAAGCUACCUCAAUUACUCUUUGAUAUGCAUAUAAAUGGGGCAAGCAUAAAUGGAUUAGAGCAACAGGCUAGGAGUCAGUAAGACCCCAGUUCAAAUAUGGUCUAAGAUAUUUACUAGCUAUGUGACUCCGUGCAAGUCACUUAAUUCAAUUUGACUCAGUUUCCCCCUCUGUAAAAUGAAUUGGAGGAGGAAAUGGCAAACCAAUCCUGUAUCUUUGCCAAGAAAACUCCAAAAGACAUCAUAAAGAGUCAGUUAUGACUGAACAACUGCAACAGGCCUUGGGUGAGAAUGAAGAAGGAAAAAGGGAGAAAAGGCAUUAGACCUUCCACUAAAAACUCAGGGUUCUCAUACAUAAAAAUGAGCCCAGGUUCAAGUAUAGCCUCUGACACUACUUGGCUUCUCCAGUUGGGUCAAACACCCCAGGAGCCAGUGUGAUCAGAUGGCUUAGGAGGUCAGAACUGUACGUUUUAGCUCAGUCAUUCCAAAACCUCUCCAUAUUUAACAAGCCAAAGUUGCUCCACCAAUUCUCUAGAAGGGACUGAUGGUCAAAGUUCACCUGCCAUUUUCUUUUAGUCUCUAGAAAACCUUUCAGCCUAAUCUAAUUUUCCAAAAUUAGUAAGAUCCCAAGCUAUCUACUCAGGAUUGGGUUUCAUCCUUUACACCUCUCAACCCCUAUCCCUAGAGCUUUUUCAAGAAACCUUCUUUUCACCCGAUAUGGGCCCACAACUUACUACAAAACAGAAACACGCAUUCACUAGCUGAGAUAGUUGCCCCCUCUUCUUACCCUACAACAAAUUACUCUAGUUUUGAAUAGGACAAAUGUAAUAUGUAAUAACAUAACAAUAUAACAACUGCCCCCCCCCACCCCAUAAUCAGCUGCUGAACCCACAACUCAGGACUUUCUCAUCCUGGUUUUGUUCCCUGUCUUAAGAAUUGAAGGCAAUAUUCCAACUCGAUUUAUGAUCCUAUGAACCCCACCCAUUUCUCCACCAAAGUACUUCCAUCUAUCCUGAGGCCUGGAUAAAAUACUUUCAGAUUAAGUCAUGACUGUUUCCAUAUCAGCAUGGGCUGCUUAUUAAGUCAUACAAUGCAUAAAACCAAACACAAACACAAACAGGACUUUGGGAUUUGAAUCUUUUUUAAAAAAAACGGUAUUUGUAUUAAAAGUCUUUAAAUGAAUAGACAACAAUUAAACGCAUGUCUGGAAUUAAAAUUACAAUUAGUUAGAAUCUGCUCGGUACAUCACAUUAAAAUUUUACUUUUGGCCAGAAGAAUAUCCUACAACAGGAAAAAAAAAGGGGGGGGGGGGGAGGGAAAAGGGCACUAAAUACCUGAAAAUUUAAAUUAGAUGAAGCCAAGAAUACUUUCCAAACGUGGAAAUUACAUGUAAAAGACACCAAAAGAAAAUCAAAAUAAAUUCCAUGAACAACAGGCCAUUUUGUCCUGGCUUGUUGGGUAUGGUCACUGAAAGGAAACCGUCAAGUACUUUAGUACUUUGGGGAGUCAUAGCAAAUAAUGGGAUUUGUGGAACUUUCACAGGUUGGCACGGCUGGAACAGCUGAGUUUUGAAGGCACUCUAGACACAGGGUCGCUGUUGCCCCUGAAUCACAUUUGAGGAAGUCUUUGUACUGUACUUUAAAGAUCUGGUCAUCAAAAUCAGUUAUUGCCAACCAAAAGGAAACCCUGAACCCAAACCAAACAAAAUGAACAAAGCACCCCACCGAAAAUAAAAACAAAACGAAAACAAAAAAAUAAACAAAUGUGCAGAUUUGUAAUUUUUCACAGCUGAUAAAAAAAAAAAAAAAAAAAAAAAAAAGGAAACACUACCGCUCUCCCCCAGACUCCAAUUUGAUACAGUAGGUAAACAAAAUAGAUUUUUUUUUUCCACAAAUAUCAGCAGACACUUUCUGGCACUCCACACUGUAUUGGCAUCAGUGUAAACAGUCCCAGUUCAGUUGUGCAAUACUUCAGAUUGGAUACACUGUAACAAUAAUCCAACUUUGCAUAGAAAUCCUCAGAAUCCUAAUCAGUCCCAGGGUUGCACUUCCAGGCUGCCAGGGAAGGCAGAAACCCCCCACUUGCUGUACACACAUGCCUGGAAACGGGGUCUCUUCCUCUGCUUUUAUUUCUUCACAGGCUUUUCCUGCACUUCCUUCCCCGGUCCAGGUACUUCAAUCUUCGAAUUGGAAAGGGAUCCUCCUCCGACUCCCAUCCGUUCCCUCCAGAUUGAAACUUUUUUUUUUUUUUUUUUUUUUUUUUUUUUGCCUGGUGUCAAGUAGCCAAUACAGCUAACGGCUGCUUUAAGUGGGGAAACGGGCAGCAACUAUCAAAGAAAUCCACGAGGGGAAUGUACAUGCGUGGAAAGCGCCACAUUUCCACCCAGGUUUCGGAUGUUAAAUACAACCCAACUCCCUCCCACCCCCAAGACAAUGAGCACGGGGGCCCGGCAGCUGCUGCCGAAAUAGCCUCGAGCCCCCACCUGGAACACACCUUGGACGAUGCAAAGUUGUUUCCAAUCUUAAAAUAAUAAUUAAAAAAAAAUCACAUUGAGAAAGAAGUAUUGUGUUUUGCUUUCGCGUUUUUUCUUUAAAAAAUAAAGAGAAAGAAAAAGAAAGAAACCCAUAAAAAUGCCACCCGAAGCACAGGGCCGACGGGAGCGGGCCCCUCCCGCCCCCCGGCUUUCAGAGAAUCACGCAGGAGGAGCAGCACUGGUCGUCCCCGUUGGGCUGAGCCGCAUAGUUCAUCUGGCGGACAAUCUCAGCGAACAACUCGUCCACCGAGGCUUUAUUUUUGGCCGAUGUCUCGAGGAAGGGGCAGCUCCACUCCUCCGCCAGGGCCUUGCCCUCCCCGAAGGAGACCUCGCGCUCGCCCUCCAGGUCCACCUUGUUGCCCACCAGGAUCAUGGGCACCCGUUCGUACCUCUUAACGCGGAUGAUCUGGUCGCGCAUGGGCUUGAUGUCCUGGAAGCUCUGCUGGUUGACCAGGCUGUAGACGAGGAUGAAGCCCUGGCCGUUCUUGAUGUACAGGUCCCGCAUGGACGCGAACUGCUCGGUACCGGCAGUGUCCAGGAUCUCCAGCACGGACGGCGACGAGUCCACCUCGAUCUCCUUGCGGUAGAAGUCCUCGAUGGUGGGGUCGUACUUCUCGAUGAAGGAGCCCGUCACGAACUGCACGCCUUGCCUGGGUCUGCUUGACCCUGUGUUUAUUUACUAUUUGACUAUUUAUAUACCUGGAAGAUCAGCU